rnacentral:rRNA from 1 species
GGGACACGUGGUAUCCUGUCUGAAUAUGGGGGGACCAUCCUCCAAGGCUAAAUACUCCUGACUGACCGAUAGUGAACCAGUACCGUGAGGGAAAGGCGAAAAGAACCCCGGCGAGGGGAGUGAAAAAGAACCUGAAACCGUGUACGUACAAGCAGUGGGAGCACAGAGCAAUCUGUGUGACUGCGUACCUUUUGUAUAAUGGGUCAGCGACUUAUAUUCUGUAGCAAGGUUAACCGAAUAGGGGAGCCGAAGGGAAACCGAGUCUUAACUGGGCGUUAAGUUGCAGGGUAUAGACCCGAAACCCGGUGAUCUAGCCAUGGGCAGGUUGAAGGUUGGGUAACACUAACUGGAGGACCGAACCGACUAAUGUUGAAAAAUUAGCGGAUGACUUGUGGCUGGGGGUGAAAGGCCAAUCAAACCGGGAGAUAGCUGGUUCUCCCCGAAAGCUAUUUAGGUAGCGCCUCGUGAAUUCAUCUCCGGGGGUAGAGCACUGUUUCGGCAAGGGGGUCAUCCCGACUUACCAACCCGAUGCAAACUGCGAAUACCGGAGAAUGUUAUCACGGGAGACACACGGCGGGUGCUAACGUCCGUCGUGAAGAGGGAAACAACCCAGACCGCCAGCUAAGGUCCCAAAGUCAUGGUUAAGUGGGAAACGAUGUGGGAAGGCCCAGACAGCCAGGAUGUUGGCUUAGAAGCAGCCAUCAUUUAAAGAAAGCGUAAUAGCUCACUGGUCGAGUCGGCCUGCGCGGAAGAUGUAACGGGGCUAAACCAUGCACCGAAGCUGCGGCAGCGACACUAUGUGUUGUUGGGUAGGGGAGCGUUCUGUAAGCCUGUGAAGGUGUACUGUGAGGUAUGCUGGAGGUAUCAGAAGUGCGAAUGCUGACAUAAGUAACGAUAAAGCGGGUGAAAAGCCCGCUCGCCGGAAGACCAAGGGUUCCUGUCCAACGUUAAUCGGGGCAGGGUGAGUCGACCCCUAAGGCGAGGCCGAAAGGCGUAGUCGAUGGGAAACAGGUUAAUAUUCCUGUACUUGGUGUUACUGCGAAGGGGGGACGGAGAAGGCUAUGUUGGCCGGGCGACGGUUGUCCCGGUUUAAGCGUGUAGGCUGGUUUUCCAGGCAAAUCCGGAAAAUCAAGGCUGAGGCGUGAUGACGAGGCACUACGGUGCUGAAGCAACAAAUGCCCUGCUUCCAGGAAAAGCCUCUAAGCAUCAGGUAACAUCAAAUCGUACCCCAAACCGACACAGGUGGUCAGGUAGAGAAUACCAAGGCGCUUGAGAGAACUCGGGUGAAGGAACUAGGCAAAAUGGUGCCGUAACUUCGGGAGAAGGCACGCUGAUAUGUAGGUGAAGUCCCUCGCGGAUGGAGCUGAAAUCAGUCGAAGAUACCAGCUGGCUGCAACUGUUUAUUAAAAACACAGCACUGUGCAAACACGAAAGUGGACGUAUACGGUGUGACGCCUGCCCGGUGCCGGAAGGUUAAUUGAUGGGGUCAGCGCAAGCGAAGCUCUUGAUCGAAGCCCCGGUAAACGGCGGCCGUAACUAUAACGGUCCUAAGGUAGCGAAAUUCCUUGUCGGGUAAGUUCCGACCUGCACGAAUGGCGUAAUGAUGGCCAGGCUGUCUCCACCCGAGACUCAGUGAAAUUGAACUCGCUGUGAAGAUGCAGUGUACCCGCGGCAAGACGGAAAGACCCCGUGAACCUUUACUAUAGCUUGACACUGAACAUUGAGCCUUGAUGUGUAGGAUAGGUGGGAGGCUUUGAAGUGUGGACGCCAGUCUGCAUGGAGCCGACCUUGAAAUACCACCCUUUAAUGUUUGAUGUUCUAACGUUGACCCGUGAUCCGGGUUGCGGACAGUGUCUGGUGGGUAGUUUGACUGGGGCGGUCUCCUCCUAAAGAGUAACGGAGGAGCACGAAGGUUGGCUAAUCCUGGUCGGACAUCAGGAGGUUAGUGCAAUGGCAUAAGCCAGCUUGACUGCGAGCGUGACGGCGCGAGCAGGUGCGAAAGCAGGUCAUAGUGAUCCGGUGGUUCUGAAUGGAAGGGCCAUCGCUCAACGGAUAAAAGGUACUCCGGGGAUAACAGGCUGAUACCGCCCAAGAGUUCAUAUCGACGGCGGUGUUUGGCACCUCGAUGUCGGCUCAUCACAUCCUGGGGCUGAAGUAGGUCCCAAGGGUAUGGCUGUUCGCCAUUUAAAGUGGUACGCGAGCUGGGUUUAGAACGUCGUGAGACAGUUCGGUCCCUAUCUGCCGUGGGCGCUGGAGAACUGAGGGGGGCUGCUCCUAGUACGAGAGGACCGGAGUGGACGCAUCACUGGUGUUCGGGUUGUCAUGCCAAUGGCACUGCCCGGUAGCUAAAUGCGGAAGAGAUAAGUGCUGAAAGCAUCUAAGCACGAAACUUGC